rnacentral:rRNA from 1 species
CUACGGGCGGCAGCAGUCGAGAAUCUUUUGCAAUGCCCGAAAGGGUGACAAUGCGACGCCGCGUGAGCGAUGAAGGCCUUAGGGUUGUAAAGCUCUGUCAGCUCGGAUGAAAACAAGGGAAUUAAUACUUCUUUUGUCUGACGUUACGAGCAGAGGAAGCCACGGCUAACUCCGUGCCAGCAGCCGCGGUAAUACGGAGGUGGCAAACGUUGGUCGGAUUUACUGGGUGUAAAGGUCAUGUAGGCGUCUUAUUAAGUCGGAUGUGAAAUCCCUUGGCUCAACCAAGGAACUGCACUCGAUACUGGUAAGAUUAAGUACGAGAGAGGUAAGCGGAAUUCCGGAAGUAAGGGUGAAAUCUGUAGAUAUCCGGAAGAACACCAGUGGCGAAGGCGGCUCACUGGCUCGAUACUGACGCUGAGGUGCGAAAGCGUGGGGAGCAAACAGGAUUAGAUACCCUUGUAGUC